rnacentral:lncRNA from 1 species
GUCAGUGACAACCUUGUUGACCUGUUGUGUGUGUUGGUGGGGAGAGAGUGUAGCUACAAAAGACCAAAAAAAGGCCAAACAAAGAAACAAUCCAGACAUUAGCAAUCUUGCCUGUCUAUUCACAAUGGCCUUCACACCCAUGUUAACUGUUCCAUAGUGCUGUGCUCCAUCUUAGGGGCUUGUCCAUCACCUCUCUUCCAGUGUAUAUUUAAAAAUUCAGUUUUUUCUUACCAUUGGUAAAUUCUUUUUAUUGUUCAUAUCACCAGCCUUCCAAAUGCUGUCUUGUAUGUCACAUAGAGAGAAGGCACACUUAGAUUGUUAGAUAACUGGAGACUCACUCUGACUCAUGACCAGGACAGCCUGAAGGUUUUCUUAGGCAUGAAAAUGAGCCAAGAAGCUAUCUCAUGAGCAGAUAAAAAUUAGCCCAGGAAGAAAGGUCAUUAUAUUUUUCCAAAAGAAGUUGGGCAGUCCCAAGGCAGCUGAGUGUGUCUGCUGGACUCACAUCAAUGUUCCAGGGGAGACUGAAGAUCUCAGGUCACACUCUAUCACUGAGGAAAGUCAGGGCAGGACCCUGGAGACAGGAACUGAAGUAGAGGCCAUGGGAGAACGCUGCUUGCUGGCUUGCUUCUCAUGCCUUGUUCAGCCUACCUUCUGAUCGAUAUACCUCAAGACCGUCCCCCAUGGGCUGGGCCCCUUCACAUCAACCUGGAUGAAGGCAUUUUUCGCAACUGGGUCUCCCUUUUGCCAAAUGACUAAAGCAUUGAUUGGUCAAGUUGACAAGAUAACCAACACAUGAAGAAGAGAAAUGGGCCUAAUAAAAAAUUUGAAUCCCUGUCCACAAAAUAAAAUAAAAUAAAUUCAACUGUUGUAUAAUUCCGUGUGACACAUGAGACAGAUUUGGGGGAGGCUCUGUGUUGACUAAGCAUCCUGUCACGUAGCCUGUGGGCCUGGAUCUGAGGCCCUGUCACAGAUAUUAACACCACAAGGAGCUGUCUUCCUUGGAAAGUGGCAGGAAAGCAGAAGCUCACAUCUGGGCUCCCUCUGCACCUCAUUUUAGAACUCCCCAGCAGAGGGCAGUCUGAGCUCAGGUACCAUUUUUCCUGGCCACUGGUUUAGCCAACAGGGCAGAUGGGGGCCCCUAGCCCCCUCACUGCCCACUGAAGCUUGGGCAUGGUGCCCACUUGCUGGCAGCAGCAGC